rnacentral:misc_RNA from 1 species
AAAGUCGUAACAAGGUUUCCGUAGGUGAACCUGCGGAAGGAUCAUUACAAAAGUAAAUGGGUUAGGACUUGCCUCUCGGGGUUGAGUCCUCUCCUAUUCAACUUUCAACCACUUGUGAAUUUGUAACUUAUUUUCUUGUAGCUAAGGUUUCGGCCUUGUUGCAGAAAAUAUUUAUCUUACCAAUUGUCUGUUAAAGAAGUCUGAUUCUAACUAUUGGUGUUUAAAGACACUUGUAAUUAAAAAACAACUUUUGGCAACGGAUCUCUUGGCUCUC